rnacentral:rRNA from 1 species
UACGGGGGGGCAAGCGUUGUUCGGAAUUACUGGGCGUAAAGGGCUCGUAGGCGGCCAACUAAGUCGGACGUGAAAUCCCCAGGCUCAACCUGGGAACUGCGUCCGAUACUGGAUGGCUUGAAUUCGGGAGAGGGAUGCAGAAUUCCAGGUGUAGCGGUGAAAUGCGUAGAUAUCUGGAGGAAUACCGGUGGCGAAGGCGGCAUCCUGGACCGACAUUGACGCUGAGGAGCGAAAGCUAGGGGAGCAAACGGGG